rnacentral:rRNA from 1 species
UACGUAGGGUGCAAGCGUUGUCCGGAAUUAUUGGGCGUAAAGAGCUCGUAGGCGGUCUGUCGCGUCGGCUGUGAAAACUCGGGGCUCAACUCCGAGCUUGCAGUGGAUACGGGCAGGCUAGAGUUCGGCAGGGGAGACUGGAAUUCCUGGUGUAGCGGUGAAAUGCGCAGAUAUCAGGAGGAACACCGGUGGCGAAGGCGGGUCUCUGGGCCGAUACUGACGCUGAGGAGCGAAAGCCAGGGGAGCGAACGGG